CGAGUGGCGGACGGGUGAGGAAUGCAUCGGAAUCUGCCCAAUCGUGGGGGAUAACGUAGGGAAACUUACGCUAAUACCGCAUACGACCUGAGGGUGAAAGUGGGGGCUCGCAAGACCUCACGCGAUUGGAUGAGCCGAUGCCGGAUUAGCUAGUUGGUGGGGUAAAGGCCCACCAAGGCGACGAUCCGUAGCUGGUCUGAGAGGAUGAUCAGCCACACUGGGACUGAGACACGGCCCAGACUCCUACGGGAGGCAGCAGUGGGGAAUAUUGGACAAUGGGCGCAAGCCUGAUCCAGCCAUGCCGCGUGUGUGAAGAAGGCCUUCGGGUUGUAAAGCACUUUUGUACGGGAAGAAAAGCUGCGGGCUAAUACCCUGUAGUCAUGACGGUACCGUAAGAAUAAGCACCGGCUAACUUCGUGCCAGCAGCCGCGGUAAUACGAAGGGUGCAAGCGUUACUCGGAAUUACUGGGCGUAAAGCGUGCGUAGGCGGUUUGUUAAGUCAGAUGUGAAAGCCCCGGGCUCAACCUGGGAAUUGCAUU
rnacentral:rRNA from 1 species